rnacentral:rRNA from 1 species
UACGUAGGGUGCAAGCGUUGUCCGGAAUUAUUGGGCGUAAAGAGCUCGUAGGCGGUUUGUUGCGUCGGCUGUGAAAUCCCGAGGCUCAACCUCGGGUCUGCAGUCGAUACGAGCAAACUAGAGUGUUGCAGGGGAGACAGGAAUUCCUGGUGUAGCGGUGAAAUGCGCAGAUAUCAGGAGGAACACCGGUGGCGAAGGCGGGUCUCUGGGCAACAACUGACGCUGAGGAGCGAAAGCGUGGGGAGCGAACAGG